UAAAGAUUCAUCGCUGAUAGAUAGGCAUGCGUUCCAUUAGGCAGUUGGCGGGGUAACGGCCCACCAAACCGACGAUGGAUAGGGGUUCUGAGAGGAAGGUCCCCCACAUUGGUACUGAGACACGGACCAAACUCCUACGGGAGGCAGCAGUGAGGAAUAUUGGUCAAUGGGCGUAAGCCUGAACCAGCCAAGUCGCGUGAGGGAUGAAGGUUCUAUGGAUCGUAAACCUCUUUUAUAAGGGAAUAAAGUGUGGGACGUGUCCUAUUUUGUAUGUACCUUAUGAAUAAGGAUCGGCUAACUCCGUGCCAGCAGCCGCGGUAAUACGGAGGAUCCGAGCGUUAUCCGGAUUUAUUGGGUUUAAAGGGUGCGUAGGCGGCCUUUUAAGUCAGCGGUGAAAGUCUGUGGCUCAACCAUAGAAUUGCCGUUGAAACUGGGGGGCUUGAGUAUGUUUGAGGCAGGCGGAAUGCGUGGUGUAGCGGUGAAAUGCUUAGAUAUCACGCAGAACCCCGAUUGCGAAGGCAGCCUGCCAAGCCAUGACUGACGCUGAUGCACGAAAGCGUGGGGAUCGAACAGGAUUAGAUACCCUGGUAGUCCACGCAGUAAACGAUGAUCACUAGCUGUUUGCGAUACAGUGUAA
rnacentral:rRNA from 1 species